rnacentral:rRNA from 1 species
UGAGUAAUGUAUAGGGAUCUGCCUAGUAGUGGGGGACAACGUGUGGAAACGCACGCUAAUACCGCAUACGCUCUACGGAGGAAAGCGGGGGCUCUUCGGACCUCGUGCUAUUAGAUGAACCUAUAUCAGAUUAGCUAGUUGGUGGGGUAAAGGCCUACCAAGGCGACGAUCUGUAGCUGGUUUGAGAGAAUGAUCAGCCACACUGGGACUGAGACACGGCCCAGACUCCUACGGGAGGCAGCAGUGGGGAAUAUUGCACAAUGGAGGAAACUCCGAUGCAGCAAUGCCGCGUGUGUGAAGAAGGCCUUCGGGUUGUAAAGCACUUUCAAUAGGGAGGAAAAGUAGUAAGUUAAUACCUUGCUACCGUGACGUUACCUAUAGAAGAAGGACCGGCUAACUCCGUGCCAGCAGCCGCGGUAAUACGGAGGGUCCGAGCGUUAAUCGGAAUUACUGGGCGUAAAGCGCGCGUAGGCGGAUAUAUAAGUCAGAUGUGAAAUCCCCGGGCUCAACCUGGGAACUGCAUUUGAAACUGUAUAUCUAGAGUGUGGUA